AGAGCAUCCCAAACGUACUCAAUGGGUGACAUGUCUGAGAUUCUAAUUCACCUAUAGAGCCAGCAAGUUUCACGGUCGUCACAGGUGAGGACAGACUCGCCUCAUUUGCUGAUGUUGGCAGCAGAGGAUGCUGUGAUGUUGUUUGGUGGCUAAUGUGGUGGUGUUUAAUUCUGCCUUCAACAUGAAGUCCUUUUUCACGUCCAUUGGUACCUUCAUGAAGCUCAUUCCAGACUACAGGCCCAAAGAUUUGGAAAAGAUCAUCAGACCCAAAUGCCUAUCAACUUUCCUAAUGUCAAAAGGUUGUUUUUCAUCUUUCAUUAGUACUAGUUAUCUUGUUUCAGGAAUAACCACAGCAUGAUUAAACAGCUUUCAUUUCCCCCUUAAUCCACCAAGCAUGUACAUAGUUGUACACAGACAACAAACAAAUCUAAAACAGAUUGUAUAGGUUUUGAAGUCCUAUACUGCUAUUUGAUACUGGUAAUUGGGGUGUGCUAUUUUUUAACAUGGAUUAUUAUUAUUAUGAUUAUUAUACAUGGUUUCUAUGGUGCUAUUUUGACUACAUCAAGGCUCUUUUGCACCAUGCAACUUUUGUCAGAUGACAUCCUUUGUAGCACAGUUGGAUAUUAGGCUCCAAAAUACAUAUUGUUUUCCUUAUUCUAAGUAUAUUUUGUUAACACACACUUGCAGUAUAUAAUAAUAAUAAUUUAAGCUUUGUCCCUGAGGCACAGGAGCUGAGGAAAAACGUUGCCUACGGUAACUGUGUCAUGUUUUCUCUUGUCAUUAGUGAGUGUAUGGAUUUGUUUGAUAGUCAAUUUGAAUUCAUAUCUUUCCAUAAACUGUUGUACAAUAUCUGAAAACAUGCACUUAUUUUAAGCUAUAGCCUACGUUGAUAGAAUCUCUAUUUAAUUUGUGUCUGAAAAAGUAAAAUUAUUAGUUGGGCUUUUUUUUAAAUUUAAUUAAAUUUUUUAUGAGGUGAAAAGCACCUAGUAAAUUUACAACAUAAACUAAAUCAGCAUAAUUGUUUAAUGUAUAUUGGACAGUCUCUGUUCAGUAAUUAUGUUGCAUUAACAGAGAUUUUUUUUUAUUUCAAAAGAAGGAUGAAAAAACAGAUCGGAAAAUAGGGCCCUAAUCGUGUGAGUUUUUAGAACAAAGACACAUUUAUAAGACAUUGUUUAAUUUCAGUAGCUAUAUAUUUGUAGAUGGUCAAAAGUUGAGUGAGCAUACUUCCUCGUGAAAAUUCACUUACUGGACUCACUGAACCAUCAUACACUGUUAGAAUAUAUUUACAGUUAUUGCUUGUUUUCAGUAAGAAGCAGAAGAUUGGAUUGUAUGUACAGGAGAAAAAAAAUUGCGGUAAAAGAGCUGAGAUUCAUGAUGCAAGAUUCUUGCCCAGAGUGUUUUUCAGCUCGUUUUCAAAUGGUAAUUUGCCUUAUCCAAAGCAAACUCAUAGAGUGUAAGUAAGUGAUUAUUUGCAUGGCUGACAAUCAUUCAACACGCUUGCGGUCUUUUUUUAAAAUGCUCUAGUUUGUCCAGUCAUUUGAAAAAAAUGCUCAAAGACCAAAGGCAAAAAUGUGAGGUGAUUUUUAAAUGUGUUUUUGCUUUGAAGUAUGUUGUUAUUUGUCCCUUUCAUUUAAAAAACAAAACAAAAAAAAAACUGUGUCUGGACAGCUCUAACUUUAAAACAUUUGCAGUGCUCAUGUUGCAUACUUGUUCUCCCUUUAAAACUAGCAUUCUUUUUCAUGGUAUCUCAAGAGGUUGUUUCUGUGCACAGUCAUGUUCUACAACAUGAAUGAAUUGUUGUACUCUAUGGCAUAAAACUGAUAUGUAGAAAAAGGUUUUUUUUUUAAUCUCAUUAUAAUGCAGUUUAUAUUAGUAGAAAAAACAAUAGUUAUUUGAAAGAAAAUGGAAACACACACACAAGUCAAACAUAUCUUAAUUGUCAGAAACAUAUUUCAGUCUUCUGAAAUGCUCUGUUUAUCUGCUAAUGAUUAUACCUAUUAGAUGUAUGUGUGUUACAUGUUGCAUCAAAGAACACUAGCAGCAACCAACCACCCCCCUCCACCCCCAACAUAAAAAAAAUUAAUAGGGAUUGACCUGGGUUGACAGGACACUCCAAUGAUCAACAGUGCAAACUCAUUCAUCACUUAAGAGUCCAAUGGUGCCUGCUUUCUUUUCCCAACAUCUCCUGUACACUUUUUAGGUCUAGGAUAUGGUACAGAGGGAAACAAUAUAUAUGCAUGCAAUUUGUAUUAUCUGUAACAAUUUAGAAGUGACCAAUUCUGCCUCUCAAUGAUGAGAUUUUAAUCUAAUUCUCAAUGGACUUGCCUUUUGCAAUAUGCAGUGCAAUUCAUAGUACUGAAUUUAACUUCAGCACCACUCAAAAAAUAUUAAUUAAAACACUAUAUAUUGUAUUCUACUGUAUAUGUAUAGUUGCAGUACUUUUGAGUAAAUGCAGAAUUUCAUCUGUCUUGUUUGAAUAUAAAAAUAAAUACAUGCAAAUGGUAUUUUUUCUAGGAACAUAUAAUUUUAUGACCUCUGACUCCUGACUAAAAACAGUUGAGGGAAUUUGGGACUGCUGUGGUUUCUUACAUGUGAAAGGUGGUUCUAAGUGGUGAGUCCCUUUGCUUUGCGUAUCAAAUAAAUAUAAAACAUGCUUUGUAGCAUUGAUGAUGUUCAUGUUUAAAUGCUGUUGUGGAUUGUACUUUAAAUGGGUAUCCAUCGUCAAGGUAACAUUCCUUACUUAGUUGAAAGUAAUCUGUAUUAUCAAAUAGAAAGAUAAACCAAGGUACUUUGUGCUUUCAAUAUACAUGUUUUUUGUGAAUAAUUUAGUAAUCCAAGAAUCCAAAACUUGCAACACUACUGAGCUUUCAUUUGUGUAAAUAUUAUUAUUUUGUUUUUAAGUAUUCUUUACUUAAAUUAUGAUCUUACUGUUUUGAAACUUUCUAAACAAUCGGAAGUGAGCUGUGAUUUUUUAGGUUAAAAUUAAAUCAUUUAGGGAAAGAACUUGAAAUUGAUAAUCUUCAUCUAUAAGCAGUUCAAAAGCCAUAGAACGCGAGGCAACAAUAGCAAAAUGUCAGGAUUCACUUUUACAAGUGACCUAGUAUGACUGCCAUAUUGUGGUCAUGGGACUGACCAUAAAGACCAAACACUUUGAAUUAUUAGCUUCACAUUCAUGUUCUGUGAAUCUCAAGUUCGAUUAUAGGUAUCAUCUUAUAAAAAUGAACCUUCUUGUGGUAUUUAUUUUACAAAGCAAAAAUAAAUAAAAUGAAAUUGUGGGCAGCAAAUCAUCUGGCUAUGCUCUGAUUCAGUGUCACUUUAAUGCUUGCUUUUUAGCCUUGAAUGACCUAAAACUCAUUUUUACAGGCACUUUGAUUACUUACACAUAACAGGA